CGGGAUAUUGCGCAGCUUGGUAGCGCGCUUGUUUUGGGAACAAGAGGUCGUCAGUUCGAGUCUGACUAUCCCGA
rnacentral:tRNA from 1 species